GUCUCGGCGUGAACGGUGCGCCGCCCUG
rnacentral:sRNA from 1 species